AGAGCUGAAGGAGAGUGGUGAGCAAAGGAAUGAAGGGGAGAGAGAGAAACUAAACUGGAAGCUUGAGUUUUGUGUAGCUUCUUGAAACCUUAUGAAUGGAUUACUAGCAGCUGAGAACCAGGAGAGACCUGUAGGGGAUGCAAGAUCACUUACACACUAAAAGGGGGAGCAAAGCGGGCGGAAUUCUCCUUCCUUGCUGAGUUAUCCCUCCUUCCUGAAAUGAAUGUCUUCCCAGGGCCUCACAAGUCUCCCAGAAGGUGAAGCCAAGGGCUCUCAGACCCAUGUGGUUACUAGAACAGCAGAUUGGCACCCCGAAGAACUUUAUGAAGACUUGCAACAUACCAACAAGUUGGAAGGGGAUUUAAAAAGCUCCAACAAUCAACAACCUCAAGCACCAAGCUGAGGGAUACAUUCUAACCUGCACGGCAGACUGGAAGCUGGAUGUGGACCUGGCUGAGGACAUCUGGAGAGUGAAAGUUAAGUAUCAGCUUGGAUUUUUGUGCCCCCUAGACUAUUUUUUGUGUUUUAAAAUAAGAAGCAUCAAAUUGUAUAUCUCUGUAUAAAAGUUCUUCUAGCAAUUUGUUUUAAGGUGAAUAUAUUCUGGGUUAAGGACUACAAAAAGAAGGUAACUCCUAGGGAAGGAAGAA